UUGACCUCGGAUCAGGUAGGGAUACCCGCUGAACUUAAGCAUAUCAAUAAGCGGAGGAAAAGAAACCAACAGGGAUUGCCUCAGUAACGGCGAGUGAAGCGGCAACAGCUCAAAUUUGAAUCUGGCUCUUUCAGGGUCCGAGUUGUAAUUUGUAGAAGAUGCUUUGGGUGUGGCUCCGGUCUAAGUUCCUUGGAACAGGACGUCAUAGAGGGUGAGAAUCCCGUACGUGACUGGUUGCCUCCGCCCGUGUAAAGCUCUUUCGAC
rnacentral:rRNA from 1 species